AAAGGGGGCAACCCUGAGUACAGUGGCGUACGGGUGAGUAACACGUGGAUAAUCUACCUCCUAGUGGGGAAUAACCCUGGGAAACCGGGGCUAAUACCGCAUAAGCUCGAGAGAGGAAAGCAGCAAUGCGCUGGGAGAGGAGUCCGCGGCCGAUUAGCUAGUUGGCAGGGUAAGAGCCUACCAAGGCAAAGAUCGGUAGCCGGCCUGAGAGGGCACACGGCCACACUGGCACUGAAACACGGGCCAGACUCCUACGGGAGGCAGCAGUGGGGAAUCUUGCACAAUGGGGGAAACCCUGAUGCAGCGACGCCGCGUGAGCGAUGAAGCCCUUCGGGGUGUAAAGCUCUUUCGGCAGGGAAGAUAAUGACGGUACCUGCAGAAGCAGCUGCGGCUAACUACGUGCCAGCAGCCGCGGUAAUACGUAGGCAGCGAGCGUUGUUCGGAGUUACUGGGCGUAAAGGGUGUGUAGGCGGUUGUUUAAGUUUGGUGUGAAAUCUCCCGGCUCAACUGGGAGGGUGCGCCGAAUACUGAAUGACUUGGAGUGCGGGAGAGGAAAGUGGAAUUCCUGGUGUAGCGGUGAAAUGCGUAGAUAUCAGGAGGAACACCGGUGGUGUAGACGGCUUUCUGGACCGUAACUGACGCUGAGACACGAAAGCGUGGGUAGCAAACAGGAUUAGAUACCCUGGUAGUCCACGCCCUAAACGAUGCAUAUUUGGUGUGGGCAGUUCAUUCUGUCCGUGCCGGAGCUAACGCGUUAAAUAUGCCGCCUGGGGAGUACAGUCGCAAGGCUGAAACUC
rnacentral:rRNA from 1 species